AUUGUUUCCUGACCUUUUGACUAAGAUCAAGUGUAGUAUCUGUUCUUAUUAAUUUAAUAUCUGAUACAUUCUCUAUCCAAGGAAAAUCUUUUUUUUUUUUUUUUGGUUUUGGGCCACACCUGUUUGAUGCUCAGGGGUUACUCCUGGCUAUGUGCUCAGAAAUCGCCCCUGGCUUGGGAGGACCAUAU